AUGAUGGUGAAGAACAGGCCCCUGAAGGUGGGCCACACGUUGACCGUCACCGGGUUCCCCAAGGCGGAUUCUAAACGCUUUAUAAUGAACAUCGACUCCGGGGACGACAUCGCGUUCCACAUGAGCGUGUGGUGGAAUGCAGUGGUGGUCUACAAUACAAGAGGGGGGGCAGGGAGAGGGGGAGGGGAGGGGUAAGGGAGGGUUAGGGAGGGGGAGGGAGAUGGGGGGAGGGAGGGGGAGGGAGAUGGGGGGUGAUUGAACAUACAUUAAGUAAAUGAACAUACAUUUUCUUCCUGUUGCGCUCGCUCUCUCUCUCUCUCUCUCUCUCUCUCUCUCUCUCUCUCUCUCUCUCUCUCUCUCUCUCUCUCUCUCUCUCUCUCUCUCUCUCUCUCUCUCUCUCUCUCUCUC